rnacentral:sRNA from 1 species
GCGUCAGCGAGAGAACGUUGCCGCAGGCAACGGCCCGAAGGGCGAGGCGCUUUAGCGCCGAGUAAUCCUUCCCCCACCACCA